AGAGCCGCUAGCACUCUGGUUGAGUUCUCAAUGCCCUUCCGUGGACUACAAGUCCCAGGAUGCCACUGAAUCUGGCCAAGGCCGUCGAAGUGAAACAGAGCUAACAGAAUGGCUUGACCCGGAAGUGGGAGGAAGCAAUCCCUGUCAGGGGACGUUUGGCUAACAUUUAAAAAAAAAGAUUCAAACCUGCCUGCAGGAACCCACAGAGCACAUGCCAAGUCCAGAGAAAACUUUUCUUUUUCCAAAGCUGACAGGUUAGUUCUAUUCAUUUAUUUCAAUUAGAAUACAGUACAACAAUUUUUCAUAGGGCUUCUAUACCUGUUCCUUCUUCCUUUCUCAGAUCUGUCAAUGGUCACUGAAAUCUACUGGUAAUAGGAAUAAACAUGUAUGUAAUCAUUAUCACCUGCAGCAAAUUCAUUUUUAAUACUUUAUUUAAAAAAAAGUGCAUAAAACUGUUAGUUCCAAUAAUCUCUAGUAAAGAAUAGCUUUCAGAAAAUUACACCUUAAUUAUGUGUAUGAACGCAGAGCUAUUAAUUUUACUAAUGAUUAUGGCUAAUUAAACCUUUUAAAAAAUCAACUGUUGUUGUUACUGCUCACCAUAGCAAAAUAAAGCUGACAAAGUAUUUCCAUUGAGUCAAUUUUAAACGGGCAUAUUUAAAUGAUCUAAAUUAGAAAAAUAAUGGUGCAUAACAUGCACAAGACAACAGUUUACAUUGUUGACUCUACAUCAUUCGUUUUGCAUGAUGGUUGGAUUUUUUCAUCCUGUUUGUGCUGGAUUUUCCUUCUGGCCAAUUGGUACCCGUUUAGGUAAAAAAGUCAACACUAUAGCUUAAAGUCUUUAUCAUGAAUUUUCAGAUUUUUUCCUUAGAUACAAAGGGGAUGUAAAAAUGGGAUGUUUAUGGUAGACGUCAGGGCCUAGCAGUAAAGUAUUACAAAUAUUUCAUGGGAUCUUCUUUAAUGGAGAAUGUAUGUAUAUAUUGUAUGACAGUCUUGUAAUAGAAACGCCAAAUAAUCUACUAGACCUGGAAGUGAAGGCUACUCUGUGAUCAUUAGGAGAAAUAUCAACUUCACUUUUCUCUUCUUGAUAGUUUCACAAUCCAACUUAAAUUCAGGAACAGUUUUGUGUGUAUACACACACAUAUAAAUCAGUAACAGUGUGCUUAUAUAUGCUCGGGCCCUGAAGUGUUCAUUUAUUUUGAUUUUUUCAGAUUUUGGAAUAUCUGCAUAUACAUAAUGAGACACCUUAGAGAUGGGACCCAAGUCUAAACACAAAAUUCACAUCUUUCAUAUAGACCUUAUACACAUGGACUGAAGAUAAUUUUAUACACAACAUUUUAAAAUAACUUUGUGCAUGAAGCAAAAUUUGUAUCCACUGAACCAACAGAAAGCAAAAAGGUCACUAUCUCAGGCACCAAUGAAAACAAUUUUGUAAUAUUUUAGACCUGUACUUUUAUUUCACAAUGGCAGCACGUAUUAUCAAAAGAAUACAACGCAAUCUUAAAUGACUUGUUAAACUGUCUUUAUUUUGUCUCCAACACAAGGUAACUUCUUUUGCAGAUUAAAGACCAAAUCCUAACAGUCACCUGAAGAAAAGAGUUCUGAUAGAAGAAUAUGAGAGAGAUGGGAUGAUGGGAUUAAAGUACAUAUGUAAAUUUGAUAGUAUACCCGUUCACCUUAUGACAUUUCAGUGUCAAGAAAUGCAACACUACCAAAUGAACCAUCAUCAUGCAUUAUGUCAUGAUCAUUAUGUAAUUUUUUAAAAAAAAUUGGUCAUGCACAACAGUAUUCGUAAAAUCCAUAAUAUAACAAUUACACAAAUUAUGAUUUGUAAAUAUAUGUAUGAAUAAGAUGUGAUCUAGUGAAACUGCAGGCUAAAUCAUGUUUUUUUAAAAAAAAAAUUAAGAGCAUAUGCUUAUUUCACAGACUAAAAAGUGUUUUGACAGAAAUUCUCAUUUUAAAUGCACUGUGCUUAUACUAUGUAAACUUCAUUUGGUUUUUUAAAAAAAUCUUGAGUCAUUUAGACUUCUAAAUUAUAAAACUAUUUAUAUGUGUAUGAAAUCCAAAAUAUCUCAAAACAAUAUUUAAAUACAUUAACCUCUAAAUGUAAAAUACAAGGUUUUGUAGCAUAUGCUUAAACUUUAGUUAGAACAAAAGGAGCUGUGUACAACUGGGGGGGGGGGAACCUGCCCCCUCGGUCUAACCCAGGCAUGGGCAAACUUUAGCCCUCCGGGUGUUUUGCACUUCAGCUCCCACAAUUCCUAACAGCUUACCUGGAGGGCCGAAGUUUGUCCAUGACUGAUCUAACCUUAUGUUAUCCUCAUACCAUAGAGCUCUCUUGACUACAGGGUCAUCUUUGCUCUCCAAACUGCAACUCUGUAAAUGGUUUCUUCAUUAGUUUGUGUGUGUUGCAUUUAUAUUUAAAUAAACAUGAAGGUGAGGAUCAGGAAAAUAGGAAUUAGACAAAGAGCAUUGAAAUCCCCAAACUGCCAUUCAUUCACUCCUGGGUCAAUGACCCCUUUAAAAAAAAAAAGGAUUCCCCCAACUGAUAUAAAGCUUACUACCCCUUCAUGUGAUGUAGAUCAAUGCUUCUCAAAGUGGUGGUCCCUGACCUGGGCCAGUCUGUGGCAGGUUUCCAGGAAACAGUUGUAGCCAAUCAGUAUAAAUGUAGUUUCGUUUCCUGACACAUCAGGGAAAAAACUACCCAGUUUCCAACAUCAGACAAGUUGAGAAGCACUCGCAUAGGUCAAUAUUCCAACUUUGAGAUUUGAAAACUAUACUCAAAAUGUUUCUCAAUUAGAGCAAGGUAUCAAUUCAUAAUCAAGAAAGUUGACUCAGAAAAAUGGAGAUUCAUGGAAUGGCAUUCUUUUUAUUUAAUCUAAGACUUCUCAACUGGAAAGGGACUAAGCAGCAUGCAGUUAGAUGGGAAAAAUAUGAAAUCAUAAAUUAACAGGUACACAUGUGUUAUUCUCUCCUCUCCUGAAAAGAGAGAGGAGAGAAACACUGAAUAUAUACAAUGUUCCUAAAAAUAUUUUCCCUGAUGUUAGCUACAUAAAUAGUAAAUCAGUAUUUUCUGCAGUUUCUCACUUUUAAAUGACCUUACAUGUUUUUUCUAAAAAGUCCUCUCAGAUUUUAGAAAUGGAUUGACAACUAGUUAAAAGUAUUAGUAAAAUGUACAUUUUACACAAGACAUUUAAUGAUACAACAUUAAAAGCAGUAUGUUAAGGCUGUAUGUUUUCUACAUUAAACCCGUAAACAAUAUGACUAGCAAGAUCCUAUAUAAAAUUUAGGAAAUACACUUAAACUGCAUAUAAGUGAAAAAUGAAAAAUUAUCCUAUACUGUAUCAACAAAGAAAUUUUAAAGCUGAAAUCAACAUACACACUUAAAACCUGCAGCUUGUAGUGAUGGGAGAAACCAGAGAUUUAGGUGUAAUUCAACAUACUGAGAAUAAAAAGCAGUCUUAAUACAUACACUCCAGUGAUGAUACGUUAAUCAGGAUUCUCUUUGUUAAAAUCACUCAAAUUUAAACAAAAACGUGCUUCAUAUACCCCCUGAAGCAAUGCUUAACAAGCCACCUGAGCUGACAUCAGAUUGAGAAAAGCCAGCACAUCUCUUCGUUAAAUAUUUAAAAGUGCUUUGUCUAAAAAAUAUUUUCUCCAGAAGUUCUCCCUCCAGCUACUAUUUUUUGUUCAAUAUUGGGGGGGGGGGGGAAGCAAUCUAUGAAAAAGGUGUUCAAAUUUGCUCUGCUAAUUACAUUUCUGGAUUAUAGAAGUAGCAACCUCUAUAAUAAUACAACACACUGCAAAUUCAUGGUACAGUAGCCAUGCAGAGAGAUGACAACUCAAAUAUCCAGGACUGGGGCACUGAUCAAUUUUUAAUCAUUUCUCUCUCUCUCUUUUUUU